rnacentral:SRP_RNA from 1 species
GCCAGGCAUGGUGGCGCAUGCCUGUCGUUCUUGCUACUCAGGAGGCUGAGGCCGGAGGAUUGCUAGAACCCAGGAGUUUGAGGUUACAGUGAGCCAUGAUCGUGCCGCUGUGAUCCAGCCUGGGUAACACAGCAAGACCCUGUCUCAA